AUUGAACGCUGGCGGCAGGCUUAACACAUGCAAGUCGCACGAGCGGCGGACGGGUGAGUAAUGCUUGGGGAUCUACCUUAUGGCGGGGGAUCACUACGGGAAACGGUAGCUAAUACCGCAUACCAUAGGAUGAGCCCAGUUGGGAUUAGUUAGUUGGUGAGGCAAAGGCUCACCCAGUCGACGAUCUCUAGCUGGUCUGAGAGGAUGACCAGCGACACUUGGACUGAGACACGGCCCAGACUCCUACGGGAGGCAGCAGUGGGGAAUAUUGCGCAAUGGGCGCAAGCUGAUGCAGCCAUGCCGCGUGAAUGAAGAAGGCCUUCGGGUUGUAAAGUUCUUUCGGUAGCGAGGCGUCACCUACAGAAGAAGCACCGGCUAACUCCGUGCCAGCAGCCGCGGUAAUAC
rnacentral:rRNA from 1 species